rnacentral:rRNA from 1 species
CACGUAGGGCGCAAGCGUUGUCCGGAAUUAUUGGGCGUAAAGAGCUCGUAGGCGGUCUGUUGCGUCCGCUGUGAAAACCCGGGGCUUAACCCUGGGCUGGCAGUGGAUACGGACAGACUAGAGGUAGGUAGGGGAGAAUGGAAUUCCCGGUGUAGCGGUGAAAUGCGCAGAUAUCGGGAGGAACACCGGUGGCGAAGGCGGUUCUCUGGGCCGAUACUGACGCUGAGGAGCGAAAGCAUGGGGAGCGAACAGG